UCUUUUGAACUUAUAAAAGAUGGUACCUGCCCAGUGAAUUAGUUUCAACGGCCGCAGUAUUUUGACUGUGCAAAGGUAGCAUAAUAAUUUGUCUUAUAAUUGAAGACUGGAAUGAAUGGUUUUAUGAAAAUAAAGCUGUCUCUUUUACACAAAAAUAAAUUAUUUUAAAAGUUAAAAAACUUUUAUUUAAAAGAGGGACGAGAAGACCCUAUUAAGCUUUAGUAGAUUGCUGUUAUUGUUAUCUUUUAUUUAAUAAAUUAAACAUAAUAACAACUACUUUGAUUGGGGUGAUCAAGGAAUAAAAAACCUUCCUUUAUUUAUAAUCAGGAUGCUGUAUUGACCCAAUAUUUUUGUUUGUUAAACUAAGUUACUAUAGGGAUAACAGCGUAAUUUCUUUUAAAAGUUCUUAUUAAAAAAGAAGUUUGCGACCUCGAUGUUGGAUUAAGAAAACUUUUAGGUGCAGGAGCUUAAAAUGUAAGUCUGUUCGACUUUUAAUUU
rnacentral:rRNA from 1 species